UGAUAAAUGUUACUGGUCUCCUGAUGGUACGGGACCCAGUCGUUGACUGUCGCUAUAUAUCAACCUCAUCUGCAGAAGACACAUCAUAAAUUGUCCCCUGCAGAAUUAUUUUUUAAAAACAUAUUUGGGAUUUGGGAUGGUGGGGGGGGGGAGUUCCCAACAUUCACGAGUAUCUUGAAAUUACUUUUGCAUUUGUCUGCAUGAAUAUCUUAUUUCUAUUUUCUGUUCUUUUUUUUUUUAAUUAAUUUUUAAAUUGAAUCAUUUCGCAGUCAUAAGCUGGGUCCAGUAUUACCAAUACAACUUCUUACCAAUAAUUACUGUUUAAACAGGUCGGUGCUUUCCAUAGCUCUCUAACAGAAAACCCAUGUGUAAGAAAUAUACUCUUAAACAUUGCUGGCUCCUCUCAGCAUAAUCUUUUGUCAUUUCAUAUUUAAGAAUACCUUAGUUUUGCCGAGUUGAAUGAUUUGUUUUUGUACUGUAUUCAUGUGACAUUUUAUUAGUUUUCACUCUGUAAAAUCUUAAGUUGCACCCUGAAUUGCUAAGCAUGUGGAAGUUGGGUUGUUAAUAUCGAUAGAUAAUGAGAUAUCGGGUCACAAAUUUCAUGUAUAUGUAUGAUUCACAACUGAUGAGACAGUCUCUAAAAAAAUAGCAAUGUGUGAUAUACUCUGUAGAAAAAAAAACAAACAAACAAAACAUGUAAACCAGUGUGUUCAUACUGUAAGUGUAUGUGGACAAAUUGGAGAGAUGUACUGAUGUCAGUGUUUGUGGUAUUGCUAUUCAUAAACGAUUAAAUUGUACCACCAGCUUAGCUGAUGCUCCUCAACAUUGUUAUUCUAGUGUUUCUAUCCCUCUCCCCCACCCAGGACAAGAAAAAAAAGGACCAAAUAGAAUGUGCCAUAGUUGUAUUUCGGCAUUUUUUGUUUUAGUCGCCCCCCUGCGAUGGAUAGAUGAUGCUCUGCACUUUUUGUUUGAAAGGCUUUAUUUGGUACUUGAGUUGGAAUGGUUAAAUAUUGAAAGAAUUAAUUGUCAAAUAUUUUUAGUUCUUUUUUUUUUUUUUUAAAUUGUUUUUAAUUUGCAUUGAUAUUUCCUAAAAUGAACUAUUUUAUCUGUUUGCACUUGUUACAUCAUGUACUGCACACCAAGGUGUUUGUAUCUGGCUUAACUAACUCUCUCCUUCUUGUAAAAGAUGCAACAGAAGAAUUUGAUAUUCAUGCAUUCACAGCAUCUAUUUAUGUUGAAUGGUUUUGAGUUGGGCGUUCCUUGUAAUAGUGCUGUACAUUACAAUCAAAUUUUACUGUACAUACAUAUUUUUGUAUAUCAUGCCCAGUGUUGGGGGCCUCUAGAGGGGUUUAUUUAUUUAACUUUUACUGGUUUACGCCCAUCUAGAGGAUCAGACGGCCAUUGUUUUAACACAACUGGUAGGAUAUAUCAUAUGCAACUCUAGGCAGUAGUGUUUUUUAUACCAGGGGAAAAUAAUAUUUUAUCUUCAUUUGUCAAAUCAAAUGUUAUUUUGUGCAGAUCAUAGAUUUCCAAUGCAGAAGUAUGUACAUAAAAGCAAAAAUAUAUUAAAAUUGAAAAAA
rnacentral:sRNA from 1 species